GAUGAACGCUAGCUACAGGCUUAACACAUGCAAGUCGCGGGACCGGCGCACGGGUGAGUAACGCGUAUCCAACCUGCCCUUCACCACGGGAUAACCCGGCGAAAGUCGGACUAAUACCGGAUGGUGAAGGAUGGGGAUGCGUCCGAUUAGCUUGACGGCGGGGUAACGGCCCACCGUGGCUACGAUCGGUAGGGGUUGGGAGAGGAAGGUCCCCCAACCGGGAACUGGGACACGGUCCAGACUCCUACGUGAGGCAGCAGUGAGGAAUAUUGGUCAAUGGGCGUAAGCCUGAACCAGCCAAGUAGCGUGAAGGACGACGGCCUAUGGGUUGUAAACUGCUUUUAUGCGGGGAUAGGUACCGCAUGAAUAAGGACCGGCUAAUUCCGUGCCAGCCGCCGCGGUAAUAC
rnacentral:rRNA from 1 species